UGGCUUCCAUCUGGAGAAAUCUGGAGACAGGUGCUGCAUGGCUGUCGUCAGCUCGUGUCGUGAGAUGUUGGGUUAAGUCCCGCAACGAGCGCAACCCUUGCCUUUAGUUGCCAGCAGUUCGGCUGGGCACUCUAAAGGGACUGCCGGUGUUAAACCGGAGGAAGGUGGGGAUGACGUCAAGUCCUCAUGGCCUUUAUGACCAGGGCUACACACGUACUACAAUGGCCGAUACAAAGGGCAGCGACACUGCGAGGUGAAGCCAAUCCCGUAAAAUCGGUCUCAGUCCGGAUUGGAGUCUGCAACUCGACUCCAUGAAGUUGGAAUCGCUAGUAAUCGUGGAUCAGCAUGCCACGGUGAAUACGUUCCCGGGCCUU
rnacentral:rRNA from 1 species